GACGAACGCUGGCGGCGUGCUUAACACAUGCAAGUCGAACGGAAAGGCCCUGCUUGCAGGGUCCUCGAGUGGCGAACGGGUGAGUAACACGUGGGUGAUCUGCCCUGCACUUCGGGAUAAGCCUGGGAAACUGGGUCUAAUACCGGAUAGGAGCCAUUUUUAGUGUGAUGGUUGGAAAGUUUUUUCGGUGUAGGAUGAGCUCGCGGCCUAUCAGCUUGUUGGUGGGGUAAUGGCCUACCAAGGCGGCGACGGGUAGCCGGCCUGAGAGGGUGGACGGCCACAUUGAGACUGAGAUACGGCCCAGACUCCGACGGGAGGCAGCAGUGGGGAAUAUUGCACAAGGGGCGCAAGCCUGAGGCAGAGACGCCGCGUGGGGGAUGACGGCCUUCGGGUUGUAAACUCCUUUCGCUAGGGACGAAGCUUUUUGUGACGGUACCUAGAUAAGAAGCACCGGCUAACUACGUG
rnacentral:rRNA from 1 species